rnacentral:lncRNA from 1 species
CCGCGGCGGCGGUACCUGAUGAUGUCGUCCUGGUGCCCCAGGUAGAAUUUCUGCCGGUGCUCCCGGGGGCUGUAGACCACGCCGACCCCAGCCACGAAGUAGACGAUCUCCUUGGCGGCCGUGUAGUAGAGGUUGUUGCGGCACUGGUGACCCCGGUAACCGUAGACCCACUCCAGCCGCAGGUGGCAGCUCGGCGCGCUCCGGUCAGCCAUGUCCUCCCGCCCCCGCCACGCAGCUAUACGGUCUCGGCGUGACCUGUCCCUUAGAAGCCCGUGACCGCUGGCCGCGUGUCACCUCUUGGCAGUGUGUCACCUCCAGUCACGCGCAGCGCGCUCGGGGCCCGGAGCGGAGCUGUCUGUGGUGCUGAGCUCGAUGUGUGGGUUCCUACGCGGCCUGGUCGUACAGAAGGAACACAGAAGUUCAGAGGCGAUAGGCUGGGAUAUGAGCAAGCUUUUAGCACUGGAACAGACUGGCUACAGAUUGCAAUAGGCUGUGGAUUCUCCAUCCUCAGAGAUCAUCUUAUCUCAUCUGGAUGAGGCCCUGAGCGAUGUCACCCAACAUUGAAGUUGACCCUGUUUAGAGCAGGAGGUUGAAUUAACUCCCAAAGAUCUGCUCCAACUUAAAUAAAACUGUGAUUUAGAUACUAAGUGGUGUAAGUUGGUUGCCUG